rnacentral:rRNA from 1 species
AGCUGCUUGAGUACUACGAGCGUGUGCUUAAAACUCAAAGAACUUGGCGGCUCGUUAACUACCUAGGGGAAUAUGCGCCUUAAUCCGAUGAUCCCCGUAUUAUCUUACUGUACCUUGAAAAUGUUCAGCUGGUGUAUUGCCGUCGUCAGCCUGUUGUAUGAGCAAGGAGAAACAGGCCCAAUGGACUUUCUAGUCAAUUUAGUUUUGGCAGGCCCCAUAAAUUCAGGUCGAAAUGCUGCCUAAGGUACAAGGGAGUGGGUGUUACAAUUUUGAUUUUAAAUAACGGAUCCUAGAAUAGUGAAAUCUCUAGGUGAAGGUGAACUUAGGAGUAAGGGGAGAUUAAUAUGCUUCCCUGAACAUGAGUCUAACUUGUGUACAAACCGCCCGUCGCUCUCGCCGGAAGGUGAGAUAAGUCGUAACAGGG